rnacentral:rRNA from 1 species
CAGCAGCCGCGCUAAUACCGGCGGCCCGAGUGGCGGCCACUAUUAUUGGGCUUAAAGCGUCCGUAGCCGGGUUGGUUAGUCUCCCGGGAAAUCUGGCCGCUUAACGGUCAGAAUUCCGGGAGAUACUGCCAGCCUAGGGACCGGGAGAGGCCGAGGGUAUUCCCGGAGUAGGGGUGAAAUCCUAUAAUCCCGGGAGGACCACCUGUGGCGAAGGCGCUCGGCUGGAACGGGUCCGACGGUGAGGGACGAAGGCCAGGGGAGCAAACCGGAUUAGAUACCCGGGUAGUCCUGGCUGUAAACGAUGCGGACUUUGUGUCGGACAAGCUAUGAGCUUGUCCGGUGCCGGAGGGAAACCGUUAAGUCCGCCGCCUGGGGAGUACGGCCGCAAGGCUGAAACUUAAAGGAAUUGGCGGG